rnacentral:rRNA from 1 species
GACGAACGCUGGCGGCGUGCUUAACACAUGCAAGUCGAACGGAAAGGCCCUUCGGGGUACUCGAGUGGCGAACGGGUGAGUAACACGUGGGUGAUCUGCCCUGCACUUUGGGAUAAGCCUGGGAAACUGGGUCUAAUACCGAAUAGGACCACGCGCUUCAUGGUGUGUGGUGGAAAGCUUUUGCGGUGUGGGAUGGGCUCGCGGCCUAUCAGCUUGUUGGUGGGGUAAUGGCCUACCAAGGCGACGACGGGUAGCCGGCCUGAGAGGGUGACCGGCCACACUGGGACUGAGAUACGGCCCAGACUCCUACGGGAGGCAGCAGUGGGGAAUAUUGCACAAUGGGCGCAAGCCUGAUGCAGCGACGCCGCGUGAGGGAUGACGGCCUUCGGGUUGUAAACCUCUUUCAAUAGGGACGAAGCGCAAGUGACGGUACCUAUAGAAGAAGCACCGGCCAACUACGUG